CAAAGAAGGUGACAGUCCCGUAAACGUAAGUUAAAAUCUAGGGUAUCAAUAAGUACGGCGAGACACGAGAAAUCUUGUCGGAAGAUGGGAGGACCAUCUCCUAAGGCUAAAUACUUCUUAGUGACCGAUAGUGAACUAGUACCGUGAGGGAAAGGUGAAAAGAACCCCGAAAGGGGAGUGAAAUAGAUCCUGAAACUGUGUGCCUACAAUUAGUCAAAGCACGUUAAUGUGUGAUGGCUUGCCUUUUGCAGAAUGAACCGGCGAGUUAUGAUAUGGAGCAAGGUUAAGUUUUAAGGAACGGAGCCGUAGCGAAAGCGAGUCUUAAUAGGGCGUUUAGUUGCAUGUCAUAGACCCGAAACUGAAGUGAGCUAGCCAUGAGCAGGUUGAAGUUUAGGUAAAACUAAAUGGAGGACCGAACCAGGACACGUUGAAAAGUGUUUGGAUGACUUGUGGCUAGGGGUGAAAUUCCAAUCGAACUCAGAGAUA
rnacentral:rRNA from 1 species